rnacentral:rRNA from 1 species
UACGGAGGAUGCAAGCGUUAUCCGGAAUGAUUGGGCGUAAAGCGUCCGCAGGUGGCCAUGUAAGUCUGCUGUUAAAGAGUCUAGCUCAACUAGAUAAAAGCAGUGGAAACUACAUAGCUAGAGUACGUUCGGGGCAGAGGGAAUUCCUGGUGUAGCGGUGAAAUGCGUAGAGAUCAGGAAGAACACCAGUGGCGAAGGCGCUCUGCUAGGCCGUAACUGACACUGAGGGACGAAAGCUAGGGGAGCGAACGGG